rnacentral:rRNA from 1 species
AGUGAACGCUGGCGGUAGGCCUAACACAUGCAAGUCGAACGGCAGCACAGGAGAGCUUGCUCUCUGGGUGGCGAGUGGCGGACGGGUGAGGAAUACAUCGGAAUCUACUCUGUCGUGGGGGAUAACGUAGGGAAACUUACGCUAAUACCGCAUACGACCUACGGGUGAAAGCAGGGGACCUUCGGGCCUUGCGCGAUUGAAUGAGCCGAUGUCGGAUUAGCUAGUUGGCGGGGUAAAGGCCCACCAAGGCGACGAUCCGUAGCUGGUCUGAGAGGAUGUUCAGCCACACUGGAACUGAGACACGGUCCAGACUCCUACGGGAGGCAGCAGUGGGGAAUAUUGGACAAUGGGCGCAAGCCUGAUCCAGCCAUACCGCGUGGGUGAAGAAGGCCUUCGGGUUGUAAAGCCCUCUUGUUGGGAAAGAAAUCCAGCUGGCUAAUACCCGGUUGGGAUGGCGGUACCCAAAGAAUAAGCACCGGCUAACUUCGUGCCAGCCGCCGCGGUAA